ACGUAGGAGGCGAGCGUUGUCCGGAAUUACUGGGUGUAAAGCGCGCGUAGGUGGCAGGCCAAGUCUGUGGUGAAAGCGCCCGGCUCAACUGGGCAUGGUCCAUGGAAACUGGUCAGCUGGAGGACGGUAGAGGCGAGUGGAAUUCCCGGUGUAGUGGUGAAAUGCGUAGAGAUCGGGAGGAAGGCCGGUGGCGAAGGCGGCGCUCUGGAACGUUUCUGACGCUGAGGCUCGAAAGCGUGGGGAGCAAACAGGA
rnacentral:rRNA from 1 species